AAUAUCUGAAGGAGAAAUUCUUGGAGUGAGUGAUUUAAAUACAGCGGGAGAGUGUGUAAAGUGACCGAGUGGAAGACAAACACACCGACGCUUGUGUUUACAGGAGAGACACACUGCUCACAGGAACAAGCAACUGACCGACCAACUCGCUAAGUGAUGUGGGCUGAAAAAUUGGGGAAACAGUUGGGCCACCCAACACAAUCAGUGGGAGGGUGGCUGGUGAGUAGGUUGCUCGUAGCACGCAACUGGGUCCUUGAGGAGAAUGCUGUGCAGCUGUGCCGGAUCCAACCUGAUGACACAGUGCUGGAGCUGGGUCAUGGCCCGGGUCUGGGUCUGAAGUCAGCUGCCAAACUGCUCACAGCGCACAAAGGCCACCUCAUAGGGGUGGAUUACUCAGCGUACAUGCAUAAGGAGGCAAGUGAGCGAAUGAAGGACCUUGUGGCCAGUGGGAAAGUGACCCUGCAUCACUGUGAUGUAGCAGCAAUGCCUCUGGAAGACAACACUGCGGAUAAAGUCUUUCACUGUAACUGCUACUACUUCUGGCCUGACCUCAGGAAGGGGGCCACAGAGAUACACCGGGUAAUGAAACCAGGAGGCCUGAUGGUGACCACCCUGAGGCUGUCUAACGUGGCUGCUUUGGCAGCAAAGCGAGUGAUGCCAGGGGAGAACUGGCGCCCGGAAGCCUACAUGACAGCUCUGAGAGACUCUGGCUUCAUUGAUGUCAGGAUGGAGGACAGACAGCUGAAAUACAUUUCUUUUCAAGCUAUCUAUGCCACUGCCUCAAAAUGAGAUUCAAAUCACACUGCAAGUGAGAGAUUAUGUGUCUUCGACCCUACUGAUGUGAUUAUACGUCAAGUGCAGCAGCAGCUGUCUGUCAGCCCCCAACUAUUCCUGCCCCUGAACCAGUACCCCCACAUGAGGAAGGAGGUGAGCAGCUGUGUGUUGAAUUAAUAAUAAUGAUAAACUUUAUUACAGACUCAAAUGUCAGAUAAGAACAAAAAACAAUACACACAAAAGAUAUAAAAGAUGAAUCUAUUAUUAUGGAAAAGAUUAAUUAAAAUAAAUGAAAUAAAAAUCGUUCUGAACAAUUUUUAUGGUUUAACUUUUUUGUUUUGUUAAAAUUCAGUUAUCACUGAAAUAGAAGAAUUGCAGUAGGAACAGAGGAGAAAAUUUGUGGUGUGUGCAGCAGACUGGGUGACUGCUCUCAAUCCAAUCAGAGAAAUGUUUACAUAUUCUGGAAAUCAGAAGAUUAAAUAGAUUAACGACCAUAUAGCCUCAUAUAUGUAUUUUUUCACCCCAAAUCCAAUGACACCACCUGUGAGUCUACAGUUUUAAAUUAGACCUUCUUUUUUCACAAAUAUGGGAAUGAUAGUCAAAAAUACCAUCAAAAUGCAUAGUUUUAUGUAAAAUAGCAUCAAAAAUUUCCGCCCGCCUCCCGGCCGGCUGUGUUGAUGACCCAAUAAAAAAAAUUGUCAUGGGGCCCAAAAUCCCUGGCGGCGCCCCUGCCUGUGAAUGACCGUCCAGUUGAGUUCAAGAUUGAUACUGGAAUGUCUCAGCGUACAUUCAACAGCCUACCCCAAAAGCCCCGCCUAGUCAGAACCAGACCCAGCGCCACCAGCCCAGGCGGAGAGGUAAAAUGCAUUGGGAAAUUCCUGGCAGUCAGCCAGUAUAAAAAGCAAAAAUACUCAUAUUGGGUAACAGUCAUCCAUGGACAGUUCACACAGAACUUAUUGGGGAAAAGUGUUGCUAGGAGAAUGGGUCUCAUUGCAAGAGUUGGAGCAGUCAACACAGCAGAGUUCAGCGACAUAUUUGGGGACCUAGGGCUCAUGAACUGUGAUCCAGUUAAGAUUGAGUUAAAGGCGGAUGCAGAGCCCUACGUCACAGCAACACCCCGCCAUGUGCCAUUUCCUCUCCUCCCCAAGGUUGAAACCGAGCUAAAGAGGAUGCUAGCUUUGGGCAUCAUUUAAGAGGUAACUGAACCCACUGACUGGUGCGCGCCUAUGGUGCCAGCAGCUAAAAAGAACUCAGAGGCCGUCAGAGUGUGUGUCAACCUCAAACGCUUGAACAAAGCGGUCAAGCGUGAAAGAUACAUGCUGCCCACGCUGGACGACAUCUAGGGCUGGGCGAUCAUACGAUCUCAAUUCGGGAUCGCGAUAAAAUUUUGAUCAAUCUCAAUUAUCAGCAUGGGACAUUUUGAAUCGAUAUCAUACGGCAAAUGUAAGCGCAACAACAGCAUAUCAGAGUCUGCUGGCUACCAUAUGCCAUGCAUGCAGGAUACGCCCGCUUCUCAUUGUAAGCGUGGCCACAGUUGUGACGGGAGGUAAACAGAGAGAGAAGUUGGAAAAAGGAGAAAAAAUGAGUGACACUGAAGUCGAGGACGGCAAAAAUAAUGCAGAAUGUGAAAGUGACAUCACUAUAUCAUCCGGAACCGAAGAUAUUGUUGAAAAAAAGAGAUAAUGCGACGUCAGUUGUGUGGAAGUGGUUUGGAUAACGUUACCUCAAAAGUGACGAGGAGCUGAUGAAGCCAGUCUGCAAAAUAUGCCGGCGGUUGGUACCAACCAGGUCCGGAAACACCACAAACCUUUUCAAUCACCUGAGACGGCACCAUCCCAGUGACUACACAGAGAGUCUAACUAUGCGGCCUCAAGUUGCCCCGACUUCUCGGGCCUAGCAAGACCCCUUCAUCUGCUGUUAGCAUCGCUAGCGGCAGCUUAGCAAAACAACAGUCUAUCCAGUCGUGUUUUGCAGCCAUUACCCCAUAUAGAAGCAUUUAAAGCGGUAAGUUUAUAUACAAUGUUUCAAUAAGUUAAAGCUUUUAUUUGACAUUGCUUCUCGUUCUUUGAGUUUACAUAUGGCUAAAGGGGAAAAAAACCGUAAACGGACAGCAUGAUUAGUGUUGCGUUCAAGGUCCCCCCAAAAAACAGGAGGAAAAAAAGGCUGAAUAUUCGAUUUUUUUUCUCAAUCGAAUCCCAUGCCAUCGAACGAAGCUUCGAAGCUUCGAAUUUUUUGGGUCAGCCUAAAUCCCACAUGCAAGGGGCUAGCCAUAAGGUUGUUGUUUUCAGCAAGUUGGCCUUGAAUAGCUGAUGUUGAGCUGUAGAGCUGUGUUACUUGUUAUGACCUGCCUUUGGUUGAAUUUAUUCUUUCUAGCUUUAUUCCUUCUCAUCUUAUCUGAGUUCUGUUGUAUGUUUGUGCUCCAUAGAAUUAUUUGCAAACUACAGCUGUUUAGUAAGUUAAAGAUGUGUUGCUGCUAACGACAGCCUGAAGUGGGGAUGAGGUCUUAAGGUUUUUGGAAGGUCUUAAAAAGUCUUAAAAAGGUAUUGAAAUUAACCUCAGGAUUCCUGCAUAUACCCUGUAAAAACAUUUUGUUCUCAAUAUUGGAAAAGCAUAUUAUUUAGUGUUUUAUGUUAUUAAACUUUUAUUGUUAAGUUUCAA